rnacentral:rRNA from 1 species
AAUGGGGGAAACCCUGAUGCAGCGAUGCCGCGUGAACGAAGAAGGCUUUCGAGUCGUAAAGUUCUGUUCUUAGGGAAGAAAAUGACGGUACCUAAGGAGAAAGCACCGGCUAAAUACGUGCCAGCAGCCGCGGUAAUACGUAUGGUGCAAGCGUUGUCCGGAAUUACUGGGCGUAAAGAGUUCGUAGGCGGUCAAAUAAGUCAGGAGUGAAAGGCUACGGCUCAACCGUAGUGAGCUUUUGAAACUGUUUGACUUGAGUACUGGAGAGGAAAGUGGAAUUCCUAGUGUAGCGGUGAAAUGCGUAGAUAUUAGGAGGAACACCAGUGGCGAAGGCGGCUUUCUGGACAGUAACUGACGCUGAGGAACGAAAGCGUGGGGAGCAAA